AGUGAACGCUGGCGGUAGGCCUAACACAUGCAAGUCGAACGGCAGCACAGGAGAGCUUGCUCUCUGGGUAGCGAGUGGCGGACGGGUGAGGAAUACAUCGGGAUCUACUCUGUCGUGAGGGAUAACGUAGGGAAACUUACGCUAAUACCGCAUACGACCUACGGGUGAAAGCAGGGGACCUUCGGGCCUUGCGCGAUUGAAUGAGCCGAUGUCGGAUUAGCUAGGUGGCGGGGUAAAGGCCCACCAAGGCGACGAUCCGUAGCUGGUCUGAGAGGAUGAUCAGCCACACUGGAACUGAGACACGGUCCAGACUCCUACGGGAGGCAGCAGUGGGGAAUAUUGGACAAUGGGCGCAAGCCUGAUCCAGCCAUACCGCGUGGGUGAAGAAGGCCUUCGGGUUGUAAAGCCCUUUUGUUGGGAAAGAAAUCCAGCUGGCUAAUACCCGGUUGGGAUGACGGUACCCAAAGAAUAAGCACCGGCUAACUUCGUGCCAGCCGCCGCGGUAA
rnacentral:rRNA from 1 species